GUAGGGGGCAAGCGUUAUCCGGAUUUACUGGGCGUAAAGGGCGUGUAGGCGGUCUUCUAAGUUGGCAGUUAAAGCUCCUGGCUUAACUGGGAGAGGUCUGCCAAUACUGGAGGACUAGAGGGCAGCAGAGGAAAGUGGAAUUCCCGGUGUAGCGGUGACAUGCGUAGAUAUCGGGAGGAACACCAGUGGCGAAGGCGGCUUUCUGGGCUGUUUCUGACGCUGAGGCGCGAAAGCGUGGGGAGCAAAGUGGAUUAGAUACCCACGUAGUCCACGCUGUAAACGGUGGACACUAGGUAUGGGGAGUAUCGACCCUCUCUGUGCCGAAGCUAACGCUUUAAGUGUCCCGCCUGGGAACUACGGCCGCAAGGCUA
rnacentral:rRNA from 1 species